rnacentral:tRNA from 1 species
GCCUAUGUGCUCAGUGGUUAGAGUGUGGGCCCACGAACCAAAGGGUCAUGGGUUCAAUUCCCGGUCAAGGGCA